rnacentral:lncRNA from 1 species
AUGUUCUGAGUCACCCGACAGGCGCCUUGCCCCGAUCAGGAGGAUCAGGACAGACUUUAAGUAUCCACAAAGCAAGAAUAGCAGCAGGAUCAGCCACAGCAGCAGGUAUCUUCAAGGUGAAGCUGUGGGAGAGGCUCUCAAACCUCUCAGACCCCGGGGGCCUAGGAUAGAUACUGGCACUGAAGAACCUGGACAGAAGCCAAGAAGGAGAAAGGCCAGGAUCUCACCAAAGUUAAAGAGCCCAGGAGUUAGCAGAGGACUCCAGUGACAGAGAGGUAAGAAGUGCGGUUGGGCUGUUAGGGGUCAGGUGUGUCUCAGCAAAGCUGACAGAAGGCAUGGGCACCCUGAGUUGCAAACCUGCUGUCGGCUUCUAGUGAUUGGCUGGGCGCCUGACACUUGCUAUUUCAAGCCCUGGGCUUUCAUUUCCUUUAGGGAGCGCUGGAGCUUUUUCUAACUGCGACUGGGAGAAGCCAAGGGUACAAAAAUAAGGCUAGGGAGCAACCUGCAACAUGUCCGGAAUUUACCUGGAGCCUCACACUUGUUUGCAGUGCUGGCUCCUUCGGGGCAGAAAUACAAGUCCUCUCCACUGUGCAGCUUAAAGCCUUCUUUAUUUCCUGUCUCUGACCUCUCUCUCCCACCCACCUAUCCACUCCACUAGCCACUCCCCUCCUUUUUAAAGUUCUUUUAUCUUUUGUUUAUUAAUUACUUCUUGUCAACUUGAAACAGUUCUUUUUUACCUACAAUCCUUUAACUUGUGUAAUGGUUGCUCUUCAGCUAAAUUCCCCACUUUCCAGUUUUCAGGCACCCGCCCUACAGCUCUGCACCUUAGGUCCAGACUUCUUCCCAAGGGCUCUCUUUCUCAUAUCAUGGGCUCCUAAUCUAGGCUGUGUAUCUGUGGAACACACAGUUAUAUCCUCCGGCUUCUCCCAAUAACUCCUUGAUCCCGAGGUCAUGAUUUUGGUUUUAUUUGUGUUUUCUCUCUCUUCCUUUUACAUGGACAGCACCUAGAGUAAGGUGGGCUUCUCUUACAGUACCUCCACCAUUCAUAGGAUCUAAACCAUUUCAUCUGUUAGCUUAGGUUGUCUUGGAUUCCAGAUCCCCAGGGCCCCUAACUCUUGCUUUGGAAUGUCUGCUCAUCUCUAGCCCUACCUUUAUUUCCAAACUACACUGGCUGUCACCUUACAGCCUCAGAUGACCUGGUGUGUCUCACACAUCUCAAAUGGAAUGCAUCACCUUCCCCAUUCCAAGCCAAUUCUUCAUAGGAACUUGCUAAGAUUCUUGACCCAAUCUAAGUAAACAUUUAGCAUGGAACUUUAUUUUUGAUUCUGGACUCCUCCCUUCUUUGUAAUGUGCAGCCAUCACUCUGUCUGACAAUUCCUACUUCUCCAGGGUUUCAUCUGUAUCAACACUCACUGGUCCAUCAUGGUGGCCUACCAAAAGACUCUCCAGCCCCUUUCCACACACAAUAGUGAGCUGUGUCAUUUUCUUCAAGCCCAAGAGCUACAUGUAACAUGCUUGGUAGAAAAACUCUAUAUGGCUUCCAGCUCCCAGUCUAUGCUUAUACUCACAAAUUCAGCAAAAGAGACUCAUCUCCCCCUUGUGUCUCACAGGAUCCCACAUAGAUCACACCCCUAAAUACCAUACAGAUGUGAUCUGCUGCAUUCUUUUUUGUACCUGCCAAUUUCUCAGCCUGAAGUUUUGCUUUUUUACCACCUUCAGAAUUCCCACUCAGGUUGUCAGAGUCAGCUUCUUUGGGAAGACAGCAUGUUUCAGUGUACUUUUUCAAGAAUGUUAACAAAGCAAAAAAUGAUUCAAGGAAGGUUGGUUGAGUUCAGAAAAACAUGUAAAUAAACACCAGCAAGCACAAAAUAAGUAUUAAUAGAGCAGUCCUGAAAGGAACCUCAAAGUUGGCAACAGGUACCCCAAGACAAAAUUUUCAGCACAAAGGAUAUUUACUUGCCUCAGAGGGACAAAGGACAAGGAAUAAGGGAUAAAGGCAGGAGACAGAAGAUAGAGGACAAGGGGGAAGAGGAAGGGAACAAGGGAGAGGGGAAAGAAUAUUUUCCCUAAAUAGACAAAGUAUAACCUCUGUAUAGAGAAGAGACAGAUGUAGUCCAUAGACAAAUAGUGAUCUAUAAAGGUACAAAGGAAAACCUCAUUUUUAGAUGGAUCACGUGUGAGCCAAAAGGAGGCUUUUGAUUGCUGGACUUCAAUACAUUGAUAUAUAGACCUUGGUGGGCAGCCUCGGGAGAAACAAGUGACCAAAUAAGGGACUAGACUUUGGUGGCUAGCUAAAUGAAUAUAAUCUAAAGGUUUUUAGCAAAGCAGAGAGAAUGGGGGGAGGUCAAGGUCUGCC